GGGGACAACAGAAGAUGAGAUGGCUGGAUGGCAUCACUGACUCAAUGGACAUGAGUUUGGAAUCCUCAAAAUCUUGUGAGCUCUAGUUUCCCAAAUAUGAAGUGACCAGAGUUCACCUCUGGGAUCUUUUAUUGUGGUGUGAGGCCUGAUGCGGUGGGAGCUAUAGAUGAACAGAUGAGUAAAAUUCAAACAAUUACAAUUUCUUUUCUGGUUGUUUUUUUCUUUAAUUCUGUCAAAGACAAAUGUUCUGGGACAGAUGUUACGAGAAAUGGAGGGUGUGGUACUUUAAAAUACAGAUAUAAAAAUUAACAUCACCAGGAAUAAAACAUA